UAGUUUUAAGAGGGCCAUUGAUCUUCACUGGGGAUUGUAAAUUGACUAGGACCAGUCUAGCUGGGCCCAGAACCUGUUGCUGGUGAGCAGUGAUUCCGAGGACGAAAAUGUCACAAAAAGAAGAAAGUUCUAAAGAUUAGCAACUUUGAAAUUUCGGAGUGUUUUCCAGAUGGAGAUCGUAACGUAUAUGGUGAAAUUUGAAAGGUUGAAAGCCUACUGAAAACGAGUUGACAGAAACAUCAAGUGCAGCACAAACAACUGCAAGCCAGAAUAUGCUCAAUGACUGUGAACAGUUCAUAAAAAGCUGGCUGAGAUUUGUCCCAGAUAGAAAUGGGAGCAGGAAAAAA